ensembl:lncRNA
ACUUUUGAUAGAAGACUCAGACAAACAUGUUUAUGGCUUUAUCUUAUAGAACUCAAUAUCCCCGUGCUGGGCAAACAGGUUUUGCAGCCGUUUGAGCUAAGAUUUUAAAAUUAUUCACAUAAUGAAAACCUAUACUUUGUCUCGGGCGAGUUUCCCAUUCAAAUGCAUGUAACAGUGAGAAACACACUGUCUUGGCGAAAUAAAGCGUUUUUCAACCACUUCAUAUAAAUCGCUGUAACUUUUGAUAGAAGACUCAGACAAACAUGUUUAUGGCUUUAUCUUAUAGAACUCAAUAUCCCCGUGCUGGGCAAACAG